rnacentral:lncRNA from 1 species
AUUUGAGAAGCUUGUAUUUGAUUUAAACUCUUGCUCUAUUAUCUUGUAACUUGAUUCAAUCAAGGGAUUGAAUCAAGGGGUUAAGGUUUGUUGGUGAGCCAAAGGAAAAACCAACUUUGUAAGGUUGUGGUUGGUGAGCCUUUGGGAAAACCAACUGGGUUGAUUGUGAAUUCGGAAAACAAUCGUUGUAAGGUUGUGGUUGGUGAGCCUUUGGAAAAACCAACUGGGUUGGAUUGUGAGCCCGUGAAAACAAUCGGUUGGUU